rnacentral:lncRNA from 1 species
AGAUUCGCUUGUCCAAAUCCUUUUGCUUUAGUUUGAGACCCAUUGGCUAAAGUAACGUUGGGAAGAGACUAUGAAUACGCAAUAUUUGACAAAAGGAAUUUAUUACCAGAGAUAUGAUCAGAAGCAGCUGAGUCCAUAACACAAGCAAAAGAAUUACCAGCAACAGAAGUAUUGGUCUGAGCAACAAAGGCUACUUGUGGAGAUAACUGCUUACUUGCUCGAUAUUUAAGGAACUCAUUAUACUCCCCUUCAGAUACAGAAAAUUCCUGN